rnacentral:rRNA from 1 species
UAUCCUCACUUACCCUCCUCGCGUCACACUCAGGUGACCGCUACGCCACCGUAGUGAGCUCUGAUCUGUGACUGAGUGUAGAGAGAAGUGAUCCAGUGUAGCGUGAAUGCGUAGAUAUCGAGACUCAGUGCGAUGCGACUUCUGACUACACUGACGCUGAGCACGAUGCUCGGAGCAGCAGAUAGAUACUGUAGUCAGCGUACGAUGAGUCUAGCUUCGCUUCACGUCGUGCGCGUACCAUAGUACUCGCUACAGUACGCUGCAGAUGAGCUCAUGAUGACUAGACGAUAGUAGCGAGCAUGUGAUACUCGAGCACGCGAGAUCUACUAGACUGACAUCCGUCGCGAGUCGUGAUCAACUCUCUGUCGCAGACAAGUGACAGUGUGCAUGUGUCGUCAGCUCGUGUCGUGAGAUGUCGGUAGUCCGCACGAGCGCACCCUAUCUUAGUGCAUCAGUCGCUGGCACUCUAGACAGACUGCGAGACACUCGAGAAGGUGCGAUGACGUCAAAUCAUCAUGCACCUUAUGCUUAGGGCUACACACGUGCUACAAUGGCUGUUACAGAGGGCUGCGAGACCGCGAGGUGGAGCCAAUCCCAUAAAAACAGUCUAAGUUCGGAUUGUAGGCUGAAACUCGCCUACAUGAAGCCGGAGUUACUAGUAAUCGCAGAUCAGAAUGCUGCGGUGAAUGCGUUCCCGGGUCUUGUACACACCGCCCGUCACACCAUGGAAGUUGAGGCACCCAAAGUUAGUCAUCCAAAUCACGACGAGCUACCUUAGAGUAG